GUCCUCGGUGGCUUAGAUGGUCAGAGCUUCUGCCAUGUAAGCAGGAGAUCCCGGGUUCGAGUCCCGGUUGGGACA